rnacentral:rRNA from 1 species
AACAGGAUUAGACUACCCUGGUACGUCCAUGACCGUAAACGGUUGGGAACUAGAUGGUCGGGGCCAUUCCGACGGUCUCCGUGUCGCAGACUAACGCAUUAACGUUCCCCGCCGUGGGAGUACGGCCGACGAGGACUAAACUACGAAAGGAAUUGACGGGGGCCCGCACAAGCGGCGGAGCAUGCGGAUUAAUCGAUGCAACGCGAAGAACCUUACCAAGGCUUGACAUAUACCGGAAACGUCCAGAGAUGGUCGCCCCGCAAGGUCGGUAUACAGGUGGUGCAUGGUUGUCGUCAGCUCGUGUCGUGAGAUGUUGGGUUAAGUCCCGCAACGAGCGUCGACGCGGCCG